rnacentral:rRNA from 1 species
AUGAAACACUGCGGCGUGCCUAAUCAUGCAAGUCGAGCGAACGGACGAGAAGCUUGCUUCUCUGAUGUUAGCGGCGGACGGGUGAGUAACACGUGGAUAAUCUACCUAUAAGACUGGGAUAACUUCGGGAAACCGGAGCUAAUACCGGAUAAUAUUUUGAACCGCAUGGUUCAAAAGUGAAAGACGGUCUUGCUGUCACUUAUAGAUGGAUCCGCGCUGCAUUAGCUAGUUGGUAAGGUAACGGCUUACCAAGGCAACGAUGCAUAGCCGACCUGAGAGGGUGAUCGGCCACACUGGAACUGAGGCACGGUCCAGACUCCUACGGGAGGCAGCAGUAGGGAAUCUUCCGCAACGGGCGAAAGCCUGACGGAGCAACGCCGCGUGAGUGAUGAAGGUCUUCGGAUCGUAAAACUCUGUUAUUAGGGAAGAACAUAUGUGUAAGUAACUGUGCACAUCUUGACGGUACCUAAUCAGAAAGCCACGGCUAACUACGUGCCAGCAGCCGCGGUAAU